rnacentral:rRNA from 1 species
UGGGGGAUAUUGCACAAUGGGCGAAAGCCUGAUGCAGCGACGCCGCGUGGGGGAUGAAGGCUUUCGGGUUGUAAACCUCUUUCGCUAUCGAACAAGGCCCGCUUAGGGUGGGUUGAGGGUAGGUGGAGAAGAAGCGCCGGCUAACUACGUGCCAGCAGCCGCGGUAAUACGUAGGGCGCGAGGGUUGUCCGGAAUUAUUGGGCGUAAAGGGCUUGUAGGCGGCUUGUUGCGCCUGCUGUGAAAACGCGGGGCUUAACUUCGCGCGUGCAGUGGGUACGGGCAGGCUUGAGUGUGGUAGGGGUGACUGGAAUUCCAGGUGUAGCGGUGGAAUGCGCAGAUAUCUGGAGGAACACCGAUGGCGAAGGCAGGUCACUGGGCCAUUACUGACGCUGAGGAGCGAAAGCAUGGGUAGCGAACAGG